rnacentral:rRNA from 1 species
AUGGCAACCUUAGCAGAUCGGAGGGCCGUUGGGAGAAAUGAACCAGAUAGUGAGGUUCUCUCACGAGCGAUGGACGCUAGGGACAGUGUUUUCUACGUCAUGAUGCAUAGAAAGGACGAUCGGGUUUCCAGUUGUGGCACAAGUUUUGCCAUCAAGAAGCGACUAGAUGGCCGAUGUGUCCUUUGCACAGCUGAACAUGCAAUAAAUUUCAAGGACAGCACCGAUAAGAUAAUCGUUCGUAGGAUGUUGUACGGAGAGCAUCCAAGAGUGGAAGAUCUAGAGGCCCGCUUGUUGCUCUCUAACAAACGUGCAGAUCUUGCGCUCUUAGAAGUUCUGACGCCAACUCCAAGUGUUGAGCCUCUGACGUUUGCUCCUAUCAGUUUUGUGCCAAAGGAUGGCACAACAAUAGCUGUUGGUUAUUGCAGCCCAGAGGAUGCUGCAGGCCCCCCUAGGGCCCCGUCAGUUUCUCCAGGAAAGCUGCUGUCAAAACCAAAAGACACUGUAAACAUUGGCGCACGAGCUACAGUGAGUUGUGUCGCUGUACAUGGCAUGUCAGGCUCCCCCGUCAUUAGCAAGUAUGGCGUGAUGGGGGUACUCAUUCGCGGAGUGGUCGACGAAGCCAGCCGGACCGUGAGGACGACCACAGUUUGUAGCGAGACUCUUGGCCUAGUACUCGCAAAAUGGUUGGGGUUACCAUUAAUUCAUACAAAGUCACUAAAGGAGAUGAUUGCCAUGAUUUGA